CCUACGGGUGGCAGCAGUGAGGAAUAUUGGUCAAUGGACGAGAGUCUGAACCAGCCAAGUAGCGUGAAGGAUGACUGCCCUAUGGGUUGUAAACUUCUUUUAUAAAGGAAUAAAACGAGGCACGUGUGCCUUUUUGCAUGUACUUUAUGAAUAAGGAUCGGCUAACUCCGUGCCAGCAGCCGCGGUAAUACGGAGGAUCCGAGCGUUAUCCGGAUUUAUUGGGUUUAAAGGGAGCGGAGAUGGGUUGUUAAGUCAGUUGUGAAAGUUUGCGGCUCAACCGUAAAAUUGCAGUUGAUACUGGCAGUCUUGAGUACAGGUGAGGUAGGCGGAAUUCGUGGUGUAGAGGUGAAAUGCUUAGAUAUCACGAAGAACCCCGAUUGCGAAGGCAGCUUACUAAACUGUGACUGACGUUGAUGCUCGAAAGUGUGGGUAUCGAACAGGAUUAGAUACCCGAGUAGUC
rnacentral:rRNA from 1 species